rnacentral:rRNA from 1 species
AUUGAACGCUGGCGGCAUGCUUUACACAUGCAAGUCGAACGGCAGCACGGGGGCAACCCUGGUGGCGAGUGGCGAACUGGUGAGUAAUGCAUCGGAACGUGUCCUUAAGUGGGGGAUAACGCAUCGAAAGAUGCGCUAAUACCGCAUAAUCUCCGAGGAGAAAAGCAGGGGAUCGCAAGACCUUGCGCUUUUGGAGCGGCCGAUGUCUGAUUAGCUAGUUGGUGGGGUAAUGGCUUACCAAGGCUUCGAUCAGUAGCUGGUCUGAGAGGACGACCAGCCACACUGGGACUGAGACACGGCCCAGACUCCUACGGGAGGCAGCAGUGGGGAAUUUUGGACAAUGGGGGAAACCCUGAUCCAGCCAUGCCGCGUGAGUGAAGAAGGCCUUCGGGUUGUAAAGCUCUUUCAGCCGGAACGAAAUGGUCACGGCUAAUACCCGUGACAAAUGACGGUACCGGAAGAAGAAGCACCGGCUAACUACGUGCCAGCCGCCGCGGUAAGAC